rnacentral:misc_RNA from 1 species
UAGGUCAGUGAGGAAAGGUU